rnacentral:rRNA from 1 species
GAGUUUGAUCCUGGCUCAGGAUGAACGCUGGCGGCGUGCUUAACACAUGCAAGUCGAACGAACCUUCGGGUUAGUGGCGGACGGGUGAGUAACGCGUGGGAAUCUGCCCUCAGGAGGGGGAUAACGGCUGGAAACGGCCGCUAAUACCCCAUAUGCCGAGAGGUGAAAUGAAUUUCGCCUGAGGAUGAGCCCGCGUCUGAUUAGCUAGUUGGUGAGGUAAGAGCUCACCAAGGCAUCGAUCAGUAGCUGGUCUGAGAGGAUGAUCAGCCACACUGGGACUGAGACACGGCCCAGACUCCUACGGGAGGCAGCAGUGGGGAAUUUUCCGCAAUGGGCGAAAGCCUGACGGAGCAACGCCGCGUGAGGGAUGAAGGCCUCUGGGCUGUAAACCUCUUUUCUCAAGGAAGAAGAUCUGACGGUACUUGAGGAAUAAGCCACGGCUAAUUCCGUGCCAGCAGCCGCGGUAAUACGGGAGUGGCAAGCGUUAUCCGGAAUUAUUGGGCGUAAAGCGUCCGCAGGCGGCCCUUCAAGUCUGCUGUUAAAAAGUGGAGCUUAACUCCAUCAUGGCAGUGGAAACUGUUGGGCUUGAGUGUGGUAGGGGCAGAGGGAAUUCCCGGUGUAGCGGUGAAAUGCGUAGAUAUCGGGAAGAACACCAGUGGCGAAGGCGCUCUGCUGGGCCAUAACUGACGCUCAUGGACGAAAGCCAGGGGAGCGAAAGGGAUUAGAUACCCCUGUAGUCCUGGCCGUAAACGAUGAACACUAGGUGUCGGGGGAAUCGACCCCCUCGGUGUCGUAGCCAACGCGUUAAGUGUUCCGCCUGGGGAGUACGCACGCAAGUGUGAAACUCAAAGGAAUUGACGGGGGCCCGCACAAGCGGUGGAGUAUGUGGUUUAAUUCGAUGCAACGCGAAGAACCUUACCAGGGUUUGACAUCCUGCGAACCUCUUGGAAACGAGAGGGUGCCUUCGGGAACGCAGUGACAGGUGGUGCAUGGCUGUCGUCAGCUCGUGUCGUGAGAUGUUGGGUUAAGUCCCGCAACGAGCGCAACCCACGUCUUUAGUUGCCAGCAUUUAGUUGGGCACUCUAGAGAGACCGCCGGUGAUAAACCGGAGGAAGGUGUGGAUGACGUCAAGUCAUCAUGCCCCUUACAUCCUGGGCUACACACGUACUACAAUGCUACGGACAAAGAGCAGCAAGUUCGCGAGGACAAGCAAAUCUCAUAAACCGUGGCUCAGUUCAGAUCGUAGGCUGCAACUCGCCUACGUGAAGGAGGAAUCGCUAGUAAUCGCAGGUCAGCAUACUGCGGUGAAUACGUUCCCGGGCCUUGUACACACCGCCCGUCACACCAUGGAAGUUGGCCACGCCCGAAGCCGUUACUCCAACCCUCGGGAGGAGGACGUCGAAGGUGGGGCUGAUGACUGGGGUGAAGUCGUAACAAGGUAACCGUA